UUUUCCUCUUUUAAUUUCCUUCUCAAAUAGUUCCAAAUACAUAAAUUUCUUCUCAAAAAAAAAAAAAAAAAAAAAAAACAUAAAUAUCGCAUCAGUCACUAUUAGAGAAAUUUUUUUUGAGGAGAAAGGCAGCACGUUAUCCGCUUCAUUCAUUGAAUUGAUGAACUAGACUACAAGAAUGAGACAGUCAGAAUCUCUGUUGACAGAAAAAUAAAAAGUUUUUAUUUCAUCUCGAACAUCUGUACCG
rnacentral:lncRNA from 1 species